rnacentral:rRNA from 1 species
AAAGUUUGAUCCGGGCUCAGGACGAACGCUGGCGGCGUGCUUAACACAUGCAAGUCGAGCGGAAAGGCCUUUCGGGGUACUCGAGCGGCGAACGGGUGAGUAACACGUGAGUAAUCUGCCCUGCGCUCUGGGAUAGCUUCGGGAAACCGAAAUUAAUACCGGAUAUGACAUUGCCUUGCAUGGGGUGGUGUGGAAAGUUUUUUCGGCGCAGGAUGUGCUCGCGGCCUAUCAGCUUGUUGGUGGGGUAAUGGCCUACCAAGGCUUCGACGGGUAGCCGGCCUGAGAGGGUGACCGGCCACACUGGGACUGAGACACGGCCCAGACUCCUACGGGAGGCAGCAGUGGGGAAUAUUGGACAAUGGGCGGAAGCCUGAUCCAGCAACGCCGCGUGAGGGAUGACGGCCUUCGGGUUGUAAACCUCUUUCAACACAGACGAAGUCUCUGCUUUUUGGUGGGGGUGACGGUAUGUGUAGAAGAAGGACCGGCCAACUACGUGCCAGCAGCCGCGGUAAUACGUAGGGUCCGAGCGUUGUCCGGAAUUAUUGGGCGUAAAGGGCUCGUAGGCGGUUUGUCGCGUCGGGAGUGAAAACCAGGUGCUUAACGCCUGGCCUGCUUUCGAUACGGGCAGACUGGAGGCAUGCAGGGGAGAACGGAAUUCCUGGUGUAGCGGGUGAAAUGCGCAGAUAUCAGGAGGAACACCGGUGGCGAAGGCGGUUCUCUGGGCAUGUCCUGACGCUGAGGAGCGAAAGUG